rnacentral:lncRNA from 1 species
AAAAAAGGAAGAAGAGAAGUCGGUGAAGGACAAACAGAGAACAAACACUAGUGGAAAAGGGAAUCACACAGUGAAUUAUCACUUAGAGAAGUGAAUUAACAUCCCUUCUGAGAAUAUUCAAACAAAACAAUUAUCACUUGGAGUUGGUUCUAAGCUCCAGGUGGGGGAUGCCAAGAAAUUGGAUGAUUUGGUUUCGGAGCAGCAGGGCCUGUACCAACUCUAUCUCCCAGCUUCCUCGCCUUAAUCUCUGCAAAACAAACAGACGCGGGCUUAUGUGCAGCCACUUUCAAUCUGAUCAAAAUAAAAAGGAAUCAAACAUGCUAUGCAAACUUAAGAACAUAUGGAAGGCUUGCUAAUGAGAAUAUAAGGAUUUGCGACUAUGCGAGGAACUUCGGGGUUCUCUCUUUUUCAAUAUAGAAAAACCUGGAGCUUUGAACCUACCACCAUACACCAAUCCAAAUUGUAUUGCAUAAAAUGCAGCAAUUAACACAAGAAGAAGCAGCGAACGGAGGAAGGACGGACUUGACAUCUUGAUCUAUGUUUCACUUCCUUCAAAACAAACUGGAUUUAACAAUCCUUUUAUAGAUAAAGUAGCCUUCUGAAAUACAUAAAAUAUUUGAUAUUUGACUUCUGCUGCUUGACCGCCGAACACGGAUCCAGCUUUCCCUUGAACGGGAAGUCACUAUACUUUGAGAAAUGGUGGAAGCAUGCUACUUUUUCCAUCAACUUUAAAAUACAUAAUGAAAUGAAUGUCACCACUCAGAAUUUUUAAAAGGAAAACUCAGGGCCCAUUCUUUGUUUUACUGUUAUUUUAACAUGUAGACCCUAUGGAAACUAUCUGUUUUGUUAGUCGUUUAACUUCUAAUCUGCAGCCAAUUCACAGGUACUUGAGAUCCAUCUCUGAAGGGGAAAUUGAGGUCCUUCCGAACCUCAGUUGAAACAUUAGGAGUAACCAAUGAAACCCACAAAUUCCUAUUCCUUUAACGACAUAGAAUGGAGAAGUAACUUCUGCAAUUGCAGUAUGGGAUAUCUGGAGACAGCAGAAACAUGUUGCACCCGCAUUUUCUCUAGUUUAAUAUUUACAAUUAAAAGGAACACAUAAAGAAAGACUAAAUUGUUUGAUGGCCCUAAACUACUCUUCGCAUCAAUGUUUGAUACAGUCUUGCAACUACGUAUGGCAGUCCGCACCAUCACCUUUCCUUGUUAGCAUGGAAAAUAGUUUAGUCAAGAGUUCAUCAUAUACAAGACCCUCCCAUGCCGCGUACAUUGGGUGCCAGACGAAUUCUUUUAGAGGGUGACUCGACCACAGUGGUGAACUGGAUUCGCUGCCGACAGGCCAGGUCGAACUUACACCCAUUACUCCGAGACUUCCGAAGCAUGGGGGGAGUUAGAUUUACUUCGGAUUUUACAUGUGUUUCGGAAGGCAAACAGGGCUGCGGACUGGAUCGCCUCCUAUGCAGCCCACCAUUCUGGUUUUGUAUUUUGGGAUCCCUCCGAUCAUGUGCCGCAGGCAUUACAUCGUAUUUUGCUUUGCGAUAGUUCUAGGCUCUCUCAUCGUCGUAUGUAGUGAGAAGCCGGUUUACCACCAAAAAAAAAAAAGAGUUCAUCCAGCUUUCUUCCCAAUUUGAAAGAUGCAAAGGUAGCUUUACAACUUUCUUUUUCACGUACAAGAUGGGUGUGGUAAACAUAGAUCGCAAUUGGUUUCUUUGUCGAUUUAAAGCUUAAUCAACAAAACGAUAUGAGAACAAACAAGAUCAAACACCUCCUACGGUUUGAACCUAGACCCACCUCCUAAUAUAGUGCUAUUGCUAAGCUGUAGUUGUAUGUGCCUAUAGGUUUUGACGGGUAUAAUGUCCUCCUUUUCUAGAUUGCCAUGCCUCAUGCCAUUGGAUGUUCAGCCCCAUUACUGGUUCAGCCCAUAAUGACUUUAGCUACCGGUUCAGGUCAAGACUUCCUGUACUAAAAAAUUGAAAUGUGAAUAGGGUGUUCAAAGUCUUUGUUUGAAGAAAAAAAAGGGUGUUCAAAGUCAAGCCCCGGUUAGGAGCCUUAAGAGUCAUUAGUGAUUUAAGAUUAGCAGUUGCAAAGAAAUUGGGCAACCUAAUCCAUCAUAAAACUUAUUGAAUUACUAUCAAUGACCACCAUGAACCGAAAAUGAAAUGAAGGAGAUAUUGUUUAUUGAAGGAGAUAUUGUUUAGGAUUAUCAUUUUGUCCAUACAGAUGACAAUUUGUCCAAAUUAGAACUUCAUUAUCUUUUCUCAUUUGCUUAGAAACUCUAAGGUCUCUAGGGGUCUUAUGUCAUUGGGAAGACUCCAAAAUAAAUAUCCUUCACUCUUGACUCAUGCUUACAGAAGGGUUUUUCUGUGUGCUCACGUGGUUGCUAUUAUGAGCUUAAAUCCGCUAGGUCGAUUCUUCAUCGAUCCUAUAGUAGAUUAUGCAGAAAGUAAAGGACGUUAUUGGUCGAUUUGCAGGAGCGAAUGGAUUACCCUUCACAAGCCAUGACAGUGCAAAUGGCAAGUCUUUGGGUAGACUGAAUUCAUUACUAUUUACCAUAUUCCCUUCAUCUGUUUCUUUAAGCACAAUAUAG